CAACGGUUAGGAUAAUUGCCU
rnacentral:siRNA from 1 species